UACGAAGGGGGCUAGCGUUGUUCGGAAUCACUGGGCGUAAAGCGCACGUAGGCGGAUCUUUAAGUCAGGGGUGAAAUCCCGAGGCUCAACCUCGGAACUGCCUUUGAUACUGGGGAUCUUGAGUCCGGGAGAGGUGAGUGGAACUGCGAGUGUAGAGGUGAAAUUCGUAGAUAUUCGCAAGAACACCAGUGGCGAAGGCGGCUCACUGGCCCGGUACUGACGCUGAGGUGCGAAAGCGUGGGGAGCAAACAGG
rnacentral:rRNA from 1 species